GCCAAUCAGGACCGAUGCUCACAGUGACAACACUCACGCUGAGGAUAUUGUGGGUUAGAAGAGGAGCAUGGGUAAAAUAGAGGAGAGCAGGAGAAGUAAGAGAUGAGAUGAGAGGAGAGGGGAGAGGAGGAGGAGGAGGAGGAAGAGGAGAGGAGGAGGAGGAGGAGGAGGAGAGGAAUGAGAGGAGUACAAGGAAGCGGAAAACGGACGCACGUCACGAGCUGAUGGUGACAAACCGGUGCAAUCUCACAUUAACACCUCAACAAUCAAAGAUCUUUGAGUUGAUCAAAUUAUUGUGCACUCUAGCCUACAGUUUGUUUAGAGGAUUUACAGUUUGUUUAGAGGUUUACAGUCUGUUUAGAGGUUUACAGUUUAUUUAGAGGUUUACAGUUUGUUUAGAGGUUUACAGUUUGUUUAGAGGAUUACAGUUUGUUUAGAGGAUUUACAGUUUGUUUAGAGGAUAACAGUUUUAGAGGAUUUACAGUUUGUUUAGAGGAUUACAGUUUGUUUAGAGGAUUACAGUUUGUUUAGAGGAUUUACAGUUUGUUUAGAGGUUUACAGUUUGUUUACAGUUUGUUUAGAGGUUUACAGUUUGUUUACAGUUUGUUUAGAGGAUUUACAGUUUGUUUAGAGGAUUUACAGUUUGUUUAGAGGUUUACAGUCUGUUUAGAGGUUUACAGUUUGUUUAGAGGAUUUACAGUUUGUUUACAGUUUGUUUAGAGGUUUACAGUCUGUUUAGAGGGUUUACAGUUUGUUUAGAGGGUUACAGUUUGUUUAGAGGUUUACAGUUUGACAGCGCCACUUUUUCUACAGACAAACAUUAGUCACAGGAUUGCAAAGGGAAGGUCAGAUGCAGAUAAGGGGUCUAUGAGAGGGGGUCUAUGAGAGGG
rnacentral:lncRNA from 1 species